rnacentral:rRNA from 1 species
AGUCGAACGAAGUAGCAAUACUUAGUGGCAGACGGGUGAGUAACAUGUAGGUAUCUGCCCUUUGGCCUGGAAUAACACGAGGAAACUUGUGCUAAUACCGGAUAAGUCUUUACGGAGAAAGCUUUAUGCACCAUUGGAUGAGCCUGCACUUGAUUAGUUUGUUGGUGGGGUAAUGGCCUACCAAGACUGUGAUCAAUAGCUGAUUUGAGAGGAUGAUCAGCCACAUUGGGACUGAGACACGGCCCAAACUCCUACGGGAGGCAGCAGUGGGGAAUCUUGCACAAUGGAGGAAACUCUGAUGCAGCGAUGCCGCGUGAGUGAAGAAGGCCCUUGGGUUGUAAAGCUCUUUCGUCGGGGAAGAAAAUGACUGUACCCGAAUAAGAAGGUCCGGCUAACUUCGUGCCAGCAGCCGCGGUAAUACGAAGGGACCUAGCGUAGUUCGGAAUUACUGGGCUUAAAGAGUUCGUAGGUGGUUGAAAAAGUUAGUGGUGAAAUCCCAGAGCUUAACUCUGGAACUGCCAUUAAAACUUUUCAGCUAGAGUAUGAUAGAGGAAAGCAGAAUUUCUAGUGUAGAGGUGAAAUUCGUAGAUAUUAGAAAGAAUACCAAUUGCGAAGGCAGCUUUCUGGAUCAUUACUGACACUGAGGAACGAAAGCAUGGGUAGCGAAGAGGAUUAGAUACCCUCGUAGUCCAUGCCGUAAACGAUGUGUGUUAGACGUUGGAAAUUUAUUUUCAGUGUCGCAGGGAAACCGAUAAACACACCGCCUGGGGAGUACGACCGCAAGGUUAAAACUCAAAUGAAUUGACGGGGACCCGCACAAGUAGUGGAGCAUGUGGUUUAAUUCGAAGAUACGCGCAGAACCUUACCAACACUUGACAUGUUCGUCGCGACUCUAAGAGAUUAGAGUUUUCGGUUCGGCCGGACGAAACACAGGUGCUGCAUGGCUGUCGUCAGCUCGUGUCGUGAGAUGUUGGGUUAAGUCCCGCAACGAGCGCAACCCUCACUUUUAGUUGCCAUCAUUAAGUUGGGCACUCUGAAAGAACUGCCAGUGAUAAGCUGGAGGAAGGUGGGGAUGACGUCAAGUCCUCAUGGCCCUUACGUGUUGGGCUACACACGUGCUACAAUGGUAUCUACAACAGGAAGCAAGACUGCGAAGUUAAGCAAAUCCCUAAAAGAUACCUCAGUUCGGAUUGCACUCUGCAACUCGAGUGCAUGAAGCUGGAAUUACUAGUAAUCGUGGAUCAGCGUGCCACGGUGAAUGCGUUCCCGGGUCUUGUACACACCGCCCGUCACACCAUGGGAGUUGGUUCUACCUUAAGGC